GUUGAAAUUAAGAGUUAAAAGAGGGUUUUAGAGAGACAGAUAUUGGGGCGUGGUAAAACCCGAAAAACCUAAAUCGAGGAUGGAAUCGGGGAACGGGAAAGGGAAAGAAGCUGUGUGCGGAGAAGAAGCCCUUCAACUCCUCAAUUGCGUCACUGAGACUCCCUUCAACCAAGAAAAAUGCCAACACCUCUUGCAUUCCUUGCGCCAAUGCGUCCUCGCCAAGAAAGUAAAGAAGUUUUCCUUGGCUGGACAGGAUCAGCAGGAAACAAAGCCAAAUAGCAAGAAGGCGUAAAGCAUGUUCUAUGUAUUGAACUAUUUAUAUUGCUGAUCGCAAGUCUUUUCUUAUUUGAUACUCUGAUUCGCAGGCAUUUACCAUUUUCCCCUCCACUGUUCUGAUGUACAGAAGCUGUUCAUUCAAAUCUGACUUUCAUUUAUUCACAAAUAAUUGUUAUUUUGCCCACUGUUUGUUUAUGGGUGUAAAGUCGAAUGAAAGUUAUUGUUAACAGCGUGUACCUUGUUUAGCUUAACAUUCAAAAAUCAAAACUUUAAGACAUCGGAAUUUAUGACCUGUAGCUAUUUCUAUCCAGCUACCAUUAAUAACAGUUAUGGCAUUCUAAUGGGUGGAUUUCUGGCUUUACAUGAUAA